rnacentral:rRNA from 1 species
UACAGAGGUCUCAAGCGUUGUUCGGAAUUACUGGGCGUAAAGGGCUCGUAGGCGGCCGACUAAGUCAGACGUGAAAUCCCUCGGCUUAACCGGGGAACUGCGUCUGAUACUGGACGGCUUGAGUUCGGGAGAGGGAUGCGGAAUUCCAGGUGUAGCGGUGAAAUGCGUAGAUAUCUGGAGGAACACCGGUGGCGAAGGCGGCAUCCUGGACCGACACUGACGCUGAUGAGCGAAAGCCAGGGGAGCAAAGCGGG